rnacentral:rRNA from 1 species
GACGAACGCUGGCGGCGUGCCUAACACAUGCAAGUCGAGCGAGCUUGCCUAGAUGAAUUUGGUGCUUGCACCAAAUGAAACUAGAUACAAGCGAGCGGCGGACGGGUGAGUAACACGUGGGUAACCUGCCCAAGAGACUGGGAUAACACCUGGAAACAGAUGCUAAUACCGGAUAACAACACUAGACGCAUGUCUGGAGUUUAAAAGAUGGUUCUGCUAUCACUCUUGGAUGGACCUGCGGUGCAUUAGCUAGUUGGUAAGGUAACGGCUUACCAAGGCAAUGAUGCAUAGCCGAGUUGAGAGACUGAUCGGCCACAUUGGGACUGAGACACGGCCCAAACUCCUACGGGAGGCAGCAGUAGGGAAUCUUCCACAAUGGACGCAAGUCUGAUGGAGCAACGCCGCGUGAGUGAAGAAGGGUUUCGGCUCGUAAAGCUCUGUUGGUAGUGAAGAAAGAUAGAGGUAGUAACUGGCCUUUAUUUGACGGUAAUUACUUAGAAAGUCACGGCUAACUACGUGCCAGCAGCCGCGGUAAUACGUAGGUGGCAAGCGUUGUCCGGAUUUAUUGGGCGUAAAGCGAGUGCAGGCGGUUCAAUAAGUCUGAUGUGAAAGCCUUCGGCUCAACCGGAGAAUUGCAUCAGAAACUGUUGAACUUGAGUGCAGAAGAGGAGAGUGGAACUCCAUGUGUAGCGGUGGAAUGCGUAGAUAUAUGGAAGAACACCAGUGGCGAAGGCGGCUCUCUGGUCUGCAACUGACGCUGAGGCUCGAAAGCAUGGGUAGCGAACAGG